rnacentral:lncRNA from 1 species
ACACCGCGUCUCCAGUGCUGACCGAUCACAGCCACUGCGUCGACUCAGGGCGUGAGGUUGGCUUCGAAGGGUCAGGAGGAGCCAGAGAUUCCUACGCCAGGACUCCCGAAAUGGCUCGCGGUGAAGUGGAGCCGUUGCUAAAGUGGCUGUGGUUGCAGGGAUAUUGCCACCGAUUCCAAAGAGUUUAUACAGGAGGGCCCCCUACUUAACGAAAUCAAAUGCAGCACUUAAGACAAUUGCAACAGCACGAUACUCCUGUCCUGCAUCUAAAGUAGACUGAGUCAUGAACAAAUGUAGAUCUCCUCUUCUCCUGUUAGCCCGUAAUAGCGAGAACAAAUUCCCCUGAGUGUGCAUGUGUUGCAGCAGAUUAUCUGUGCAACAUUAGCCUCCACGGUCCGACAUCCCUCUUCUCACAGACGCAACGUUAUGCAACUCUCUGACAGCGCCCGGUGCAGUUCGCUUCUUCGCCGUUUCUUCAUUGGGGAAAACAUGUGCUGUUUUCAAUUUGGAAACUCGGUUAGCAUUAUGAUUUCUUCUGUCUUACCUUGCUGUAAUUUGGUGAUAUACCAGGUAAGUAACUAAAAUAGAUGAGUGGAAAUUACCUCAACCGACCUGAUUAUUUAUCCAGCUUGCAACUUUGAACUCUCUAGCUUUCAAUGUCAGUGUUGCACUGCUGAUUCCUAUUAACCUUGACUCCCAAGAUCUGCGCGAUGUUGAGACAUCCAGAGCAGGUC